UUGCUCACUUUGGCAGCACAUAAUGCUAAAAUUGGAAAGAUACAGAGAUUAGCAUGGCCCGGAGCAAGGAUGACACACAGAUUUGUGAAGCCUUCCAUAUUUAA